rnacentral:rRNA from 1 species
AGCUUGAGGAAAAUAUCUCAAGUGAGAUCUGCUCACUGCAAAAUAGUAAAGAGCCGCGGUAAUUUGACCGUGCUAAGGUAGCGUAAUAAGUUGUCCUGUAAUUUAGGACCGGUAUGAAGGAAUAAAUGGGUUUUAGCUGUCUCUCUCUAACUCAAUAAAACUUGCUUUUAGGGUGAAAACGCCCUUGUGAAAACGAAGGACGAUAAGACCCUGGGAACUUAAUAAAAUUCGCUUGUCGGCACUUCCUUUUGGCUGGGGCGGUCCUGUUACAAUUUUAACCUAACAGAAAAAACACGAAGUAUUAAUGUCUGUAAGAAAAAGUUACCCCAGGGAUAACAGCGUAAUUUUAAAGUUUAGAUUUCGACCUCGAUGUUGGACUAGGCACUCCCUUGAGUCAGAAGCUUGAGAAGCGGCUCUGUUCGAGCCUUAAAAGCCU